CGGUACUCCUGGAACUCGGCUGCCGGUGGCCGGCUGCUGGUCGGCAGCGGUGCCCGCGAUCGUAACGCCUCGGUGUUCAGUCCGCGGUUACCGCCC
rnacentral:tRNA from 1 species